UACGUAGGGUGCGAGCGUUAAUCGGAAUUACUGGGCGUAAAGCGUGCGCAGGCGGUUUUGUAAGCCAGAUGUGAAAUCCCCGGGCUCAACCUGGGAACUGCAUUUGUGACUGCAAGGCUAGAGUACGGUAGAGGGGGAUGGAAUUCCGCGUGUAGCAGUGAAAUGCGUAGAUAUGCGGAGGAACACCGAUGGCGAAGGCAAUCCCUGGACCUGUACUGACGCUCAUG
rnacentral:rRNA from 1 species